rnacentral:rRNA from 1 species
GACGAACGCUGGCGGCGUGCUUAACACAUGCAAGUCGAACGGAAAGGCCUGCUUUCCCUUGUGGAUUGCGGGUACUCGAGUGGCGAACGGGUGAGUAACACGUGAGUGAUCUGCCCCCAACUUGGGUAUAAGCCUGGGAAACUGGGUCUAAUUCCCGAUAGGACUGCAGGGUGGUGCCUGUGGUGGAAAACGAUUUUCUAGUGGUUGGGGAUGAGCUCGCGGCCUAUCAGCUUGUUGGUGGGGUAAUGGCCUACCAAGGCGGCGACGGGUAGCCGGGCUGAGAGGGUGGACGGGCACAUUGGGACUGAGAUACGGCCCAGACGCCUACGGGAGGCAGCAGUGGGGAAUAUUGGAAGAUGGGCGGAAGCCUGAUGCAGCGACGCCGCGUGGGGGAUGACGGCCUUCGGGUGGUAAACUCCUUUCGACCGCGAGGAAGCCACCUGGUUGGAAGGGUGGUGACGGUAGUGGUAGAAGAAGCACCGGCUAACUACGUG